rnacentral:rRNA from 1 species
GGGGAAUAUUGGGCAAUGGGCGAAAGCCUGACCCAGCAACGCCGCGUGAAGGAAGAAGGUUUUCGGAUCGUAAACUUCUAUCCCGGGUGAAGAUAAUGACGGUAACCCGGAAGGAAGCCCCGGCUAACUACGUGCCAGCAGCCGCGGUAAUACGUAGGGGGCAAGCGUUGUCCGGAAUGAUUGGGCGUAAAGGGCGCGUAGGCGGCCAUGUAAGUCCGACGUGAAAGUCCUGUUUUUAAGGUGGGAAUUGCGUUGGAAACUGUAUGGCUUGAGUGCAGGAGAGGUAAGUGGAAUUCCCGGUGUAGCGGUGAAAUGCGUAGAGAUCGGGAGGAACACCAGUGGCGAAGGCGACUUACUGGACUGUAACUGACGCUGAGGCGCGAAAGUGUGGGGAGCAAAC